GCAAAUGCUUAUAGUGUAUCUUUAAUGCACUGGAUCUAAUUAGAACUCUGUAGUUAAGCAUGCUCAGGCUAGAGUAAUACUGGGAUGGGAUACCUCCCGGGAAGUCCUAGUGUUUUACAUGCU
rnacentral:rRNA from 1 species